UUGAUGUCUCCAUCUCGCUCCCUCUCUAAACUCAGUAAAGAUUUGCUGUGGACAUGACCACAAAAUAUUUCCCAUUAGGUUUUCUUUCUGCUACAUUGGUAGCAUUCAGUCUACUGGGAACAUUU